CAAUCGGCCCUUUUCAGGGCCACCAAAAUUUUCAAAACAUAGAAAU
rfam:Trichomalopsis sarcophagae strain Alberta scaffold6952, whole genome shotgun sequence.